UAUAUUAAGUCCAAAGAUUUAUUUCUCUCGAAUGCAUUUCAGUAUCUCUUCUUUGUGAUUAGCAACAAAAAUAUGAAACUCUGCACUUUCUUGUAAACGAUCUAAUUCUUGCUUGAGAAUCUCCAUCUGUUCAUUUUCUUCAAAGAUAUAGAGUUUUGCUUUGAGAGUUCCGAUAGUUUUUCCCAUUUGAAAUCCCAGCCUUGAACCAUGCUUAAAACCAUCAUCAAAGCCGCUCUGAGCAACUUGCAUUUUUCCCUUUAUAAUUCCUUCUGAGUAUCCAAAAUUCGAGUGCUUUUCUUCUAAAAGCUCCAACUCAUGCAUUGAUAAAGCUUGUAGGUUGUCACAAAAAGGAUCAAUCGAUUCCGGAUCCGAUUGAUCUGAUUCAUCGCUUCUAUUGUUUUUUGGCGAUGCCUUUGCAUCUAGCAAUACCUCACCAUCACUCGUCUCAACGCGACUAAAAUAUUUGGACGAAAGGAGUCCAUUGACACCUUCAGUUAAAAUCACACCGUUUUCGGAACGAUAAAACUCGACCCCGUCCUGCAUAGCUUUUGCAGAAUCGAUAUAAAUGUAUAAUGUGCAUGACUUUCGAAUACCAGAAAUUACUCCGGGGUCUCCAUAUAAACCUGUAGCACAAUGUAUGUGAUUACGCUUCAUCCGACUCAAGCCUUGUUUAGAUAUAACUGGCCAAAGCUCCUUCUUUGUCCCAUGCACCACCUUUGGAAUUGAAGAAGCAUUAUCUAUACGGGCCAUUGGUACCUGAACUGCUUUUAUAGAAUGCCCUUGGUUAGCCCUUAUAUACAAGACACCUUCCACUUCUUCCAUGGUGAAACGUUUUUUAUCAUUUCCCUUGACAAUUGAUAGCAAGAGUUCCAUACCCAUACCGCGGAAUUGCGGAAGUUUGAGUAUUGAAUCUACUUCUAUAUAACCAUCCUCCCGUAUUUGUAGUCCAUUUGCCUUCGCUGUGUGACGAAGAACUUUCGAUAAAGCUUUUGAAUAAUGCACCAAGUCAUUACGAGGGCGAAUUUUUUUGGUCGGUUUUGAACUUGAUUUUGUAGCAGGAGUUCCUGAAUUAUUUGACUCCUCAAUUAAUUCAUGUGAAUUCAUAUUUUUAUACAUGUGCGAUCAAUAAAUCAACUAAUGAUUUUGUUUGUCAUAAAGCUGCUGCACAUAAAGCGAUUUUCUAACGUGGAAAAUUGACAGUAUGAGGAAGGUAGUUCUUUCUACUAAGUACCUUUUAUUUUACCUCUCGGUGGUGAGUUAGUUCGUCCGUUCCUUGAUUCUAAAAAAAGUGCUUCUUAAUACAGAAGUAAUUAUAGCAUUAAGUUUCCAAAAAUAAGCCCUUAAUGAUAAAUGUAAGGAAUAUUCUUAAAUAUAAAAAUGAGAAAACUUUCAAAUACGUCUAAUUUUGGUGAAACUUC